rnacentral:rRNA from 1 species
UACGUAGGGUGCAAGCGUUGUCCGGAAUUAUUGGGCGUAAAGAGCUCGUAGGUGGCCUGUCGCGUCGGCUGUGAAAACUCAGGGCUUAACCCUGAGCUUGCAGUGGGUACGGGCAGACUAGAGUGCGGUAGGGGAGACUGGAAUUCCUGGUGUAGCGGUGAAAUGCGCAGAUAUCAGGAGGAACACCGGUGGCGAAGGCGGGUCUCUGGGCCGUAACUGACGCUGAGGAGCGAAAGCAUGGGGGAGCGAACAGG